CUGACUCUGAGACACGAAAGCUAGGGGAUCAAACAGGAUUAGAUACCCCGGUAGUCCUAGCUGUAAACGGUGUGCGUUAGGUGUUGGCGGAUUCGACCCCGCCGGUGCCGAAGCUAACGCAUUAAACGCACCGCCUGAGGAGUACGGUCGCAAGGCUAAAACUCAAAGAAAUUGACGGGGGCCCGCACAAGCGGUGGAGCAUGUGGCUUAAUUCGAUGCAACGCGAAGAACCUUACCUGGCCUUGACAUGCAGCGUUCAGUCCCGGAAACGGGAUGGCCCGCAAGGGCGAGCUGCACAGGUGCUGCAUGGCUGUCGUCAGCUCGUGUCGUGAGAUGUUGGGUUAAGUCCCCCAACGAGCGCAACCCCUGUGUUUAGUUGCCGAAAGGUUCUCUAGACAGACUGCCCUCUUCAAGGGGGAGGAAGGUGGGGACGACGUCAAGUCAGGAUGGCCCUUAUGGCCAGGGCUGCACACGUGCUACAAUGCUCGGCACAAAGGGAAGCAAGACCGCGAGGUGGAGCAAAUCCCCAAAACCGAGCCCAGUUCGGAUUGAAGGCUGCAACUCGCCUUCAUGAAGCCGGAAUCGCUAGUAAUGGCGCAUCAGCUACGGCGCCGUGAUACGUUCGCGGGCCUUGUACUCACCGCCU
rnacentral:rRNA from 1 species